UCCACCCACCUUGGCCUCUCAGAAUGCUGGGAUUACAGGCGUGAGCCACUGCACCUGACCAGCAUUUGCACAUUUUAGAGGUGACUGUUCUGGGUGACAAAUCACUCCCCAGGGACCACAACAUCAGUUUGACAUGUAAAAUGGGGAAAUGGAACUUAGCCCGUUUAAUAGACAUUUGCUCACAAGUUGCCUGUUUCACCAGGAUGACUGCAUGAAGGAACAUAUAGUUAGGAGGUUGCUGGGUUAGAUCAGCUAAUGCUUCUAAAUGGAAGGGAGUUUCAAUGGGGUGAGAGUCAUGGGGUGGUGACAUGGACUAAACUAAGCCCCUCCUGGGGGCCAGGUUAACCGGGAAUGUUUGUCAGUGACAGCACAUCUACGACCACGGCCAGGAUGGAGGCCCACAGGGAGAGUGGGGAGAACGGACAUGGCGAGGCGUGAAGGCUGACCUCAGAAACACACUGGAUGAGCUGUGGCUCCUUUUGCUGGGAAAGAAAACACAAGCGAGAUUAGAAAAUGGCAGUGAGUUGCAGGUCAAAAAGGAGAUGAAGGUGAGAUCAGGAUGUCAACACAGGAAGGCAGAAUGUGCCCUCAGCAGGCCCCACAGGGGUGAGUGUGGAGACCCCUGUCCCUGUUCCAGAGUGGUGUGAGUCAGGGGUAUGCGUGCAGUUAAACAUACAAGAUGCGGUGUGUGCACCAGGCGCCAGUUAUUGUGUCCACUGGGGGACGUUUGUUUCCAGUGAUCAGAUGCUCACGACCCCCUUCAGCACUCCUGAGAGGCCAGUGUGCUGCUCCGCUCUCACACCUGCCUGAUUGGUGGCCCGUGUAUGGCAGAUGCACCUGACAACGAUAACUCAACACGCCCUGAGAAUGACUCCAUGGUCUAAGAAGAAUGUCUGUUCAGAGUUCUGAGCUAAGCAGUCCAGGAGUGGCCAACCAGGAGGUUCAUUUCCUAUCCAUGAGGAACAUCCGAGCCCCUGGCCCACCCUGUGGCAGGUUGCUGGGGCCGGGUGCUAAGUGAAAAUGCUACAUAAACUGCAUGCCUUUUAUGAGAGGUAAUGGUUCCCCGUCCCACCUGCUGCCACUGGACCGUCCCUGAAUGCAAUGCUGCAUAGACAACAGAGCCAAAAGUGUGGAAGAUACACUGAGUAACAAAAUUGAAUUUUAGAAAAUACUGAGAUAAAUUAGAACAUUGUGCUCAGUCUGUCAGCAUUCAAUUUAUUAAAGACAAAAUGUGAGUUCUUGGUUUAAGUUCACAAAACAAGCAGUGCAAGUAUGGAGCACAGCACGUCAAAGGAAAACUUUUUAUUUGUUUUCGGUAAACUCCAUUUGAAUCAAGACAAUGACCGUGCCCCACACUGUCUCCCCUUCACCACUGUGUGUUCAGGCAACCAGGAUGAUGGAGGGACUGGCUCUUUCUGGUGUCUGAGGAAUCUUGGAAGGCCUGGGAACAUUUAGCCUGGAGAAGAGGAGAAUUCACAGAAUGGUGGCUGCUGUCACAAGUCUGAAGAGCGGUCAGCAAGAGGAGGGAUUGGUAUCAGGACCUGCAGAGGAAGAGACUCACUGCCACCCAGUCUAACAAACAACCUCCUGGAGAAACAGCUACACAGGUGGUCAGGAGCGCAGGCUUCAAAGUGAGACAGACCUGGGCUUACAUGCCCCCUCCACCUCCUAACCUCUGAACAUGAGUCCCCCCCGCGUGUGAAAGAUGAGGAUGCAGCAGCUCCCUCAGAGUUCCCAAAGCCUUCGAUGAGAGGUGCACUACAGGGGCUCAGCAAAUGCCAGACGAAGUCGGUGCCAGACUGUCAGCUGCUGUGAGCUUAUGAUCUCCCUUCAGCAGAGCUGCCCAGGAAGCCGUACCUGUUCCAGAAGAGCCUUCCAAAGUUGAGGCUCUCCAGUUCCAGUUAAGCUGAUUUAGGAAGACUGCACAAGUGGAAACACCACAUGCAACUAUUUGUGUUAUUAAUAAGAACAUGUUGACUUCAGUUGUUGACUGCCAGAUGGAUUUUUGCCUCAUAAAUAUUUUUGAGUGGAUUAUUACUGAAAUCUUGGGGUUCAGUCAGAAGACAACCAUCUACAUUUUUUCUGUAUUUCUUCUGGGGGCAUGAUUUGAUCCAGGGUGUGGCCAAAUCUACGUCACUGAAUCGUUCUACCGAGCUCCCCGGCUGUUACUGGGGAUGUUAAUUCAACAUUUUCAUGGUUUUCCGUUUUUAUGGUCAUUUGUGUAAAAUGGGGCCCAAGUGUUUGUCUUUUCCACUUGAAAAACUCAUCAUUGGUUCGUGGUAACUAAGUCAUUUAUGCUUCAAAGAAUGAUGCUGAGAAAGAAAAAAACUGUGACCACAGUCAAGGAUAUUAAUGAAUGAGCAUGAACUUAGCCCAUGUGCAUUCUGAAGUAUGGAGGGUGGGAGAAACAGUGACUCGCUGUUCCGCAGGGGCCGUUGGCUUACUCUCCAAUGUGGUGGUGGUGGUGUUUCUUUGUUUGUUUUUAACAUUUUUGGGUUUAGUACUUUAUAAUGCAUAUUUUGAAUUCAAAAAUGAAUUAUAGAGUGGCUAUGUCAGAGGAACUGACGGUCUUUGGGCUUUUUUUUUUUUUUUUUAAAU